rnacentral:tRNA from 1 species
UCCGGGGUAGCUCAGUUGGCAGAGCAGUCGGCUGUUAACCGAUCGGUCGUGAGUUCGAGUCUCACCCCCGGAG